AACUUUAUUUGAGAGUUUGAUCCUGGCUCAGGAUGAACGCUGGCGGCGUGCCUAAUACAUGC
rnacentral:rRNA from 1 species